rnacentral:rRNA from 1 species
UACAGGGGGUGCAAACGUUGCUCGGAAUCAUUGGGCGUAAAGCGCACGUAGGCGGUCUGUUAUGUCGGAUGUGAAAGCCCUUGGCUUAACUGAGGAAGUGCAUCCGAAACUGGCAGGCUAGAGUACUAAAGAGGGUCGCGGAAUUCCCGGUGUAGAGGUGAAAUUCGUAGAUAUCGGGAGGAACACCAGUGGCGAAGGCGACUUCCUGGCCUGUUCUUGACGCUGAGGCGCGAAAGCUAGGGGAGCAAACGGG